rnacentral:rRNA from 1 species
AAAUUGAAGAGUUUGAUCAUGGCUCAGAUUGAACGCUGGCGGCAGGCCUAACACAUGCAAGUCGAACGGUAACAGAAAGAAGCUUGCUUCUUUGCUGACGAGUGGCGGACGGGUGAGUAAUGUCUGGGAAACUGCCUGAUGGAGGGGGAUAACUACUGGAAACGGUAGCUAAUACCGCAUAACGUCGCAAGACCAAAGAGGGGGACCUUCGGGCCUCUUGCCAUCGGAUGUGCCCAGAUGGGAUUAGCUUGUUGGUGGGGUAACGGCUCACCAAGGCGACGAUCCCUAGCUGGUCUGAGAGGAUGACCAGCCACACUGGAACUGAGACACGGUCCAGACUCCUACGGGAGGCAGCAGUGGGGAAUAUUGCACAAUGGGCGCAAGCCUGAUGCAGCCAUGCCGCGUGUAUGAAGAAGGCCUUCGGGUUGUAAAGUACUUUCAGCGGGGAGGAAGGGAGUAAAGUUAAUACCUUUGCUC